rnacentral:rRNA from 1 species
GACGAACGCUGGCGGCGUGCUUAACACAUGCAAGUCGAACGGAAAGGCCCUGCUUUUGUGGGGUGCUCGAGUGGCGAACGGGUGAGUAACACGUGAGUAACCUGCCCUUGACUUUGGGAUAACUUCAGGAAACUGGGGCUAAUACCGGAUAGGAGCUCCUGCUGCAUGGUGGGGGUUGGAAAGUUUCGGCGGUUGGGGAUGGACUCGCGGCUUAUCAGCUUGUUGGUGGGGUAGUGGCUUACCAAGGCUUUGACGGGUAGCCGGCCUGAGAGGGUGACCGGCGACCAGGGGACUGAGGGACGGCCCAGACUCCUACGGGAGGCAGCAGUGGGGAAUAUUGCACAAUGGGCGGAAGCCUGAUGCAGCAGCGCCGCGUGCGGGAUAACGGCUUUCGGGUUGUAAACAGCUUUGGACUGUGACGAAGAGUGAGUGACGGUAAUGGGUAAGGAAGCACCGGCUAACUACGUG